CAGCCGCCGCGGGAAUACGUAGGGUGCAAGCGUUAAUCGGAAUUACUGGGCGUAAAGCGUGCGCAGGCGGUUAUAUAAGACAGAUGUGAAAUCCCCGGGCUCAACCUGGGAACUGCAUUUGUGACUGUAUAGCUAGAGUACGGCAGAGGGGGAUGGAAUUCCGCAUGUAGCAGUGAAAUGCGUAGAUAUGCGGAGGAACACCGAUGGCGAAGGCAAUCCCCUGGGCCUGUACUGACGCUCAUGCACGAAAGCGUGGGGAGCAAACAGGAUUAGAUACCCCCGUAGUCCCUGUCUCUUAUAC
rnacentral:rRNA from 1 species